rnacentral:rRNA from 1 species
CCAGACUCCUACGGGAGGCAGCAGUGGGGAAUAUUGCACAAUGGGGGAAACCCUGAUGCAGCGACGCCGCGUGAGUGAAGAAGUAUUUCGGUAUGUAAAGCUCUAUCAGCAGGGAAGAAAUAGCGACCUUUGGGUCGCCAGACGGUACCUGAUUAAGAAGCCCCGGCUAACUACGUGCCAGCAGCCGCGGUAAUACGUAGGGGGCAAGCGUUAUCCGGAUUUACUGGGUGUAAAGGGGGCGCAGACGGCAAUGCAAGCCAGGAGUGAAAGCCCGGGGCCCAACCCCGGGACUGCUCUUGGAACUGCAUGGCUGGAGUACAGGAGGGGCAGGCGGAAUUCCUAGUGUAGCGGUGAAAUGCGUAGAUAUUAGGAGGAACACCGGUGGCGAAGGCGGCCUGCUGGACUGUGACUGACGUUGAGGCCCGAAGGCGUGGGG